rnacentral:rRNA from 1 species
GACGAACGCUGGCGGCGUGCUUAACACAAGCAAGUCAUAGGAGAAAGGGGUAGCAAUAUCCCGAGUACACUGGCGCAAGGGUGAGUAACACGUAGGCAACCUGCCCACAGGACGGGAAUAACCCCGCGAAAGCGGGGCUAAUACCCGAUGAUGCAGCGGCACCGCAUGGUGACAGUUGUUAAACCCCUUCGGGGGCCUGUGGAUGGGCCUGCGUCCCAUUAGAUAGUUGGCGGGGUAACGGCCGACCAAGUCUGCGAUGGGUAGCUGGUCUGAGAGGACGAUCAGCCACACUGGAACUGAGACACGGUCCAGACUCCUACGGGAGGCAGCAGUGAGGAAUAUUGCGCAAUGGCCGAAAGGCUGACGCAGCGACGCCGCGUGAAGGAUGAAGGCUCUAUGGGUCGUAAACUUCUUUUGUGGGAGAAGAAUGAUUCGCUACAGGCGGAUUUGACGGUAUCCCUCGAAUAAGCACCGGCUAACUACGUGCCGGCAGCCGAC